CCUACGGGAGGCAGCAGUGGGGGAUAUUGCACAAUGGGGGGAACCCUGAUGCAGCGCCGCCGCGUGGGUGAAGGAGUGCUUCGGCAUGUAAAGCCCUAUCGGCAGGGAAGAAGCAAGACGGUACCUGACUCAGAAGCCCCGGCUAACUACGUGCCAGCAGCCGCGGUAAUACGUAGGGGGCGAGCGUUAUCCGGAUUCACUGGGUGUAAAGGGAGCGUAGACGGCCAUGCAAGCCAGGGGUGAAAGCCCGGGGCCCACCCCCGGAACGGCCCUUGGAACUGCAUGGGUGGAGUGCGGGGUGGUCAGGCGGAAUUCCGGGGUUGGCGGGGAAUGCGUAGAUAUCAGGAGGAACCCCGACGGCGAAGGCGGCCUGCUGGACCGCGACUGACGUUGAGGCUCGAAAGCGUGGGGAGCGAACAGGAUUAGAUACCCCAGUAGUC
rnacentral:rRNA from 1 species